rnacentral:misc_RNA from 1 species
CCCAGUAGUGUUAAGGUGUCCAAACGGGAAGGCGAGUGUCGCAGGCAAUCGUUCAUUUUCUCAAAUAAUGCCUUUCAAAAGAAGAGUGCCGCACAGGAAGCAUUGGAGGAUGAUGAUCCUACAAAGGAAGACUUGGGUGAUGUUUCUAAAGACGACACAACCACGUUCUUUUCAAGUGAAACUCAGAUCGAGGUAGAACGGAUUAAGGAAGAUGCAUCAAGUCUGCAAAAUGGCGUCGAGAAACAACAAGAGGACGCCACACGAAAUCAAACCGAGAGUCAGAAAACCGCUGAGAAGAAACAUCGGACUAAGAAGUCAAAUUUUGGUGGAAUGAAGAAAGGAUUCCUUUUAUGAACUGAAAUGUUUCUCGGAAAAAAUGAAAGGAAAAAACAUAAAAAAACAUAAAAA